GCGCUGGCGAUCUCCAUUUCACUGUGAAAAUGAGUGUUUCAGCUAUUUCCUGAAACCGCACUUUCACAAUAUCUUAAUUACUUGGGACACUUGCUUGUCAAACAUGAUGACUUCAAAACAUGUGAUGUGCUCCAGUGAGGACAGGCAGCUAUUGAUUUUCCGUGUCAUCUAAAGAAAGAAAAUACCACUUUCAUACAGUCUCCUCCAGUGCUGUGAAAUACCGUCAUCAAUGAUCAUUCACAGUGUGCAGGUGUGGGAACAUGAACUGCUUCUUCCUGCCAAUCUCUCCAUCUAUUCUAAAAGGCAGUUUUUCUCCACCUCUUUCUUCUUUUCUUCCAGCAUAACAGCGAGCAAUUACCCAUAUAUUGGCGAGGUCUAGCGAUGGCAUGAUUGCUAUAACAGUCCAGUCGUCACACCAGCAUGUGCCCUCUGUUCAUGAAGUCAGAAGGUCUGAGAUGCUGGAAUUAUGUGCCCUGGGGACAUAUGAACGGAGACUCAUCAGCCUUGAAGUUGCAAGCACAAGUUACAUGGGCUCUAGAGCUUAAAGUUGAAGUCCCAUAUCUGGCAUGUAUUUAAAUAUGCAGAAUCCCACCCAUCUGCAGAGUUUAAGCAAAGACAGGGUGGACUACUGUAAUGGUCUCCUCACCGGCCUUCCCAAGAAGACCAUUAGACAGCUGCAGCUCAUCCAGAACGCUGCUGCCAGGAUUC
ensembl:lncRNA